UGCUAGAGGACCAGAGUUGGUGGGAGA
rnacentral:sRNA from 1 species